GAAUUCGCCCUUAGAGUUUGAUCCUGGCUCAGGACGAACGCUGGCGGCGCGCCUAACACAUGCAAGUCGAACGAGCGAGAGAGAGCUUGCUUUCUCGAGCGAGUGGCGAACGGGUGAGUAACGCGUGAGGAACCUGCCUCAAAGAGGGGGACAACAGUUGGAAACGACUGCUAAUACCGCAUAAGCCCACGGCUCGGCAUCGAGCAGAGGGAAAAGGAGCAAUCCGCUUUGAGAUGGCCUCGCGUCCGAUUAGCUAGUUGGUGAGGUAAUGGCCCACCAAGGCAACGAUCGGUAGCCGGACUGAGAGGUUGAACGGCCACAUUGGGACUGAGACACGGCCCAGACUCCUACGGGAGGCAGCAGUGGGGAAUAUUGCACAAUGGGGGAAACCCUGAUGCAGCGACGCCGCGUGGAGGAAGAAGGUCUUCGGAUUGUAAACUCCUGUUGUUGAGGAAGAUAAUGACGGUACUCAACAAGGAAGUGACGGCUAACUACGUGCCAGCAGCCGCGGUAAAACGUAGGUCACAAGCGUUGUCCGGAAUUACUGGGUGUAAAGGGAGCGCAGGCGGGAAGACAAGUUGGAAGUGAAAUCUAUGGGCUCAACCCAUAAACUGCUUUCAAAACUGUUUUUCUUGAGUAGUGCAGAGGUAGGCGGAAUUCCCGGUGUAGCGGUGGAAUGCGUAGAUAUCGGGAGGAACACCAGUGGCGAAGGCGGCCUACUGGGGCACCAACUGACGCUGAGGCUCGAAAGUGUGGGUAGCAAACAGGAUUAGAUACCCUGGUAGUCCACACCGUAAACGAUGAUUACUAGGUGUUGGAGGAUUGACCCCUUCAGUGCCGCAGUUAACACAAUAAGUAAUCCACCUGGGGAGUACGACCGCAAGGUUGAAACUCAAAGGAAUUGACGGGGGCCCGCACAAGCAGUGGAGUAUGUGGUUUAAUUCGACGCAACGCGAAGAACCUUACCAAGUCUUGACAUCCUGCGACGAUGCUGGAAACAGUAUUUUCCUUCGGGACGCAGAGACAGGUGGUGCAUGGUUGUCGUCAGCUCGUGUCGUGAGAUGUUGGGUUAAGUCCCGCAACGAGCGCAACCCUUACUGUCAGUUACUACGCAAGAGGACUCUGGCAGGACUGCCGUUGACAAAACGGAGGAAGGUGGGGAUGACGUCAAAUCAUCAUGCCCUUUAUGACUUGGGCUACACACGUACUACAAUGGCGUUAAACAAAGAGAAGCAAGACCGCGAGGUGGAGCAAAACUCAGAAACAACGUCCCAGUUCGGACUGCAGGCUGCAACUCGCCUGCACGAAGUCGGAAUUGCUAGUAAUCGUGGAUCAGCAUGCCACGGUGAAUACGUACCCGGGCCUUGCACACACCGCCCGUCA
rnacentral:rRNA from 1 species